GAUGAACGCUGGCGGCGUGCCUAAUACAUGCAAGUCGAGCGAACGGACGAGAAGCUUGCUUUCCUGAUGUUAGCGGCGGACGGGUGAGUAACACGUGGAUCACCUACUUAUAAGACUGGGAUAACUUCGGGAAACCGGAGCUAAUACCGGAUAAUAUUUUGAACCGCAUGGUUCAAAAGUGAUAGACGGUCUUGCUGUCACUUAUAGACGGAUCCGCGCUGCAUUAGCUAGUUGGUAAGGUAACGGCUUACCAAGGCAACGAUGCGUAGCCGACCUGAGAGGGUGAUCGGCCACACUGGAACUGAGACACGGUCCAGACUCCUACGGGAGGCAGCAGUAGGGAAUCUUCCGCAAUGGGCGAAAGCCUGACGGAGCAACACCGCGUGAGUGAUGAAGGUCUUCGGAUCGUAAAACUCUGUUAUUAGGGAAGAACAUAUGUGUAAGUAACUGUGCACAUCUUGACGGUACCUAAUCAGAAAGCCACGGCUAACUACGUG
rnacentral:rRNA from 1 species